UACAGAGGUCUCAAGCGUUGUUCGGAUUCAUUGGGCGUAAAGGGUGCGUAGGUGGCGCUGUAAGUCGGGUGUGAAAUCCUGGGGCUUAACCCCGGAACUGCAUUCGAUACUGCAGUGCUUGAGGACUGGAGAGGAGACUGGAAUUCAUGGUGUAGCAGUGAAAUGCGUAGAGAUCAUGAGGAAGACCAGUGGCGAAGGCGGGUCUCUGGACAGUUCCUGACACUGAGGCACGAAGGCCAGGGGAGCAAGCGGG
rnacentral:rRNA from 1 species